CUGAUUUUUUUGGGGGGGAGGGACUAAUUUGUUUGGGUUUGGGUUUGGGGGGGGUGGCUACCAGCAUUUUUAGUGGUAUCUAAAUGCAUGAAAUGACAUGCAAAGUUUUGCACACCUCUAUUGCACACACACGGGUGAGCAGGUCUGAUUGCAAUAUUUCUCAUCUAUCAGUCAUUCUGAAGUGAGAGUGAUGAUUCAAUAAAAAAAGACCCCUAUGAUUAGUUUCACUUGCAGGGGUGUAAAAUUCUAAGGUGUGGCUUUACUAUUUAAAUUGCAGAUGGGAGUCGUUUCUGGAUGUUCUUCUAUGUGCAACUUCCUGCAGGUCAGUCUAGUAUAGUAAGGAGGAAAAUGCUAGUAUAAUCCAUUUCCCAUUCUGCUAAAUUUUCACUUGUAAAGAGACAUUAAAAUGAAGAAACAUUCCCCAAGGUGAUCUUCUGUGUAUUGUCCAAAGUUGCACUGUACAUUUUACUCCCUGGUGGCAGUACCACAUUUCCCUAUCUUAUUCUGCUGCAUGAAUAUACAGAAUCCAUGGUGCUGGAAUGUAGUUUAUGUACAUAGAAAUCAAACAUCAUUAGAUCACGCUACAUGGAAGAAACUUCCACACUACUAGAUAAUUGAGAUUUGAAGUGAAGCAUAAUGGUUGCACUGGAAAAAGUGGUGUUCCAAUUUGGUAAGGAUUAGAUACAGAAUCGUGACAAAACCCAAGGUCACAAUUGCUCAGUACACUAGCUUUUGCAAGGUUAUGACCACUAAAGCUUCAGGACAUUUUCAAAUCCAGAGAUGAUACAAAGCUAAACCAACAAUAGAGGGAUUGCUUCUUUAUGUGGAUCAUGGGAUUGACUCUUUAUUCCUUCUAGCAUUUUAGGUUAUCUGUGCUGGACUCGAAGAGACCCCUUCCAAAAGAAAAUAAGAAAGAAAAAGACUCAGUAUGAAAGCGUGCAGAAAGUUUGAUCUGUCAGGAGAAACUGCUGAAGCACUGUUGAUUUGCCCUCAGCCAUGCCUGUGUUGUGCUACAUUGCCCUCUGGCCAACAAUCGGAGCAAACAGAUUCUCCUAACUUCUGCCUCGCUGCAUCUGUUCCAUGUGCUGCCAUGCAAAGCAAAUUAGCCAUUUUCUUUUAAAAAAUACUGUGAAACAGGUGUUCAGCUAACCCAUCCAGAAGUACUGCAAUUCCAGUUUAUCGAUAUGGGCCUUUGAAUCCAAGUGUGUGACAGAUUCAAACACAGCAGCUUAUGGACUUGCUCAUAAAAGCUCAAACUGAAUCAAAGGAUAGUUUAAUAGAAUCGGCAUUUGAUAUUAUUUAAAGAUGCACUAAAAUGCUAUUUAAUUAAAUAUGACAAUCGUGAAUUCCAUAUCGGCCAGGAACAUUAAAAAUAGAUCUACCAUAAGAUCUUACUCAUUUUGAAAUGGUUAGUUCUGUGUAUAAGCAAAAUGUCACAAUUUAAUAUUUUAUUUCCCAUAAAACACUGAACUGAACUGAAUUUCUCACCCUUGCCCUCAAUUAUUGGUGGCUGGAGCAAUUCAUAGAUAGAGCAUAUGUAAGAAACGGCAUAGGUGAAAAGAUAUAUGCUAGCAGCUCAUUAUUAAACUCUAGAUACUGAGUGUAGACCAGGCACAUACUGAAGCUUAAUAGCACUAGUGUCAUGUGU
rnacentral:lncRNA from 1 species